AAUAAGUGGCAUCAUUUUAAACAGUGAAGCCAAACUAAUAAAAUGUAAUGAGCAACCAGUGAACAAUACUGGAUUCUGCAAAAACAUAAACAACUGAAUGCAGAAUACUGGACAAACAAAUUCUACAGACAUUUUUCAUUCAUCUAAAUGUAAACCUAAUGUUAACACAGUUAAUGUAUUGACUUAUUUAUGUGUGUAUGCAUGUAUUUAUUGAUUUAUUUAGUACUGUUAACAAAUCAGAGUUCUGAGUGAGUUUUUCUUUAGAUAGGCAAAGGCCAUUUAUUGAUUACAUAUAGGCUAUUAAAUGUUUAUUAAAAACUAUAAAGCAUUAAAAAUAAUAAACAACAUGCAUUUACUGUCAUUAAACUAGUGUAGAGUCUACGACCACAUCAGCAUGAUUAUAAGCAUCCUGUGGUAAAUUCACAACCAGAUACUGGUGUCUCUUACCAUAUGGACUUCAGGAGAUGAUUGGGGAUGAUAAAUAUUAUAAAUGUCGUAGACCACAGACGGUGGUGUUGAUGACUGACGUAGACCACACACGGUGGUGUCGAUGUCUAUGACGUAGACCACAGACGGUGGUGUUGAUGACUGACGUAGACCACAGACGGUGGUGUUGAUGUCUAUGACAUAGACCACAGACGGUGGUGUUGAUGUCUAUGACGUAGACCACAGAAGGUGGUGUCGAUGUCUAUGAUGUAGACCACAGACGGUGGUGUCGAUGUCUAUGAUGUAGACCAUAGACGGUGGUGUUGAUGCCUGACAUAGAGACAUAGACCACAGACGGUGGUGUUGAUGACUGACGUAGACCACAGAUGGUGGUGUUGAUGUCUAUGACAUAGACCACAGACGGUGGUGUUGAUGUCUAUGACGUAGACCACAGACGGUGGUGUUGAUGACUGACGUAGACCACAGACGGUGGUGUCGAUGUCUAUGAUGUAGACAACAGACGGUGGUGUUGAUGACUGACGUAGACCACAGACGGUGGUGUUGAUGUCUAUGACAUAGACCACAGACGGUGGUGUUAAUGUCUAUGACAUAGACCACAGAUGGUGGUGUUGAUGUCUAUGACGUAGACCACAGAUGGUGGUGUUGAUGUCUAUGACAUAGACCACAGACGGUGGUGUUGAUGUCUAUGACGUAGACCACAGAUGGUGGUGUCGAUGACUAUGAUGUAGACCACAGACGGUGGUGCUGAUGACUGACGUAGACCACAGAUGUAAUCAAUUGGAGUCUAGAUAUAUGAUCGUCUGUAAAUAAAACCGGUAAUAUCUCAGCAGCACAAACGAAGCCCGAACCACUCAGCCUGUUUGGAUGUUUUAUGUGAGAAAAGCAAAUCUGAAGAGCAAACGUCCAAUAAGAUUGAUGUGAC
ensembl:lncRNA